rnacentral:rRNA from 1 species
AAAGCACUUUCAGUCGUGAGGAAGGUAGUGUAGUUAAUAGCUGCAUUAUUUGACGUUAGCGACAGAAGAAGCACCGGCUAACUCCGUGCCAGCAGCCGCGGUAAUACGGAGGGUGCGAGCGUUAAUCGGAAUUACUGGGCGUAAAGCGCAUGCAGGUGGUUUGUUAAGUCAGAUGUGAAAGACCCGGGGCGUCAACCUCGGAAUUGCAUUUGAAACUAGGCAGACUAGAGUACUGUAGAGGGGGGUAGGAAUUUCAGGUGUAGCGGUGAAAUGCGUAGAGAUCUGAAGGAAUACCGGUGGCGAAGGCGGCCCCCUCGGACAGAUACUGACACUCAGAUGCGAAAGCGUGGGGAGCAAACAGGAUUAGAUACCCUGGUAG